rnacentral:rRNA from 1 species
CAAUAGCGUAUAUUUAAGUUGCUGCAGUUAAAAAGCUCGUAGUUGGAUUUCGGGUGGGAAUGGCCGGUCCGCCGUUUCGGUGUGCACUUGCUACGCCCACCUUGCUGCCGGGGACGUGCUCUUGAGUUCACGCUCGGGACACGGAGUCGGCGAGGUUACUUUGAGUAAAUUAGAGUGUUCAAAGCAGGCCUACGCUCUGAAUACAUUAGCAUGGAAUAACACGAUAGGACUCUGGCCUAUCUUGUUGGUCUGUAGGACCGGAGUAAUGAUUAAGAGGGACAGUCGGGGGCAUUCGUAUUUCAUUGUCAGAGGCGAAAUUCUUGGAUUUAUGAAAGACGAACUACUGCGAAAGCAUUUGCCAAGGAUGUUUUCAUUGA